rnacentral:rRNA from 1 species
GACGAACGCUGGCGGCGUGCUUAACACAUGCAAGUCGAACGGAAAGGCCCUGCUUUUGUGGGGUGCUCGAGUGGCGAACGGGUGAGUAACACGUGAGUAACCGGCCCUUGACUUUGGGAUAACUUCAGGAAACUGGGGCUAAUACCGGAUAGGAGCUCCUGCUGCAUGGUGGGGGUUGGAAAGUUUCGGCGGUUGGGGAUGGACUCGCGGCUUAUCAGCUUGUUGGUGGGGUAGUGGCUUACCAAGGCUUUGGCGGGUAGCCGGCCUGAGAGGGUGACCGGCCACAUUGGGACUGAGAUACGGCCCAGACUCCUACGGGAGGCAGCAGUGGGGAAUAUUGCACAAUGGGCGGAAGCCUGAUGCAGCAACGCCGCGUGCGGGAUGACGGCCUUCGGGUUGUAAACCGCUUUCGCCUGUGACGAAGCGUGAGUGACGGUAAUGGGUAAAGAAGCACCGGCUAACUACGUG